CAACUGGUUGUUUGAAACCUCUGUACUUCCAGAGAAGUGCAUAGAAGUAUAAAGGAAGAGGAAUAAAGAAGCUUGUAGAAGUCCCACCCAUAAUUGUAUCAUCCUAAAGAAACCAUUGUUGCUAUUUAAUCUUGCUGUCAUUUUAAUUUUUGUUUCUAAUGGAGCUCAUAUAUGCUAAUUAUUUCCUUUACUAUAUGUACAUUUUACCAAAUAUUUAAAACCCUGGCUUCAUGUCUACAGUUUUUCUCACUACAAACAGAGCUGCAAGAUUUUUUCUUUCUUCUUUUUUUUUUUGCUGGAGUUGUUCAGUGUUAAACAGCCUAAAUUUCAAGCAGCAUGAUCCAAACACUUCCUACAAAGCCCCACCUCCAACAUUGGGGAUUAUAUUUCAACAUGAGAAUUGGGUAGGGACAAAUAUCAUUCUGCCCUGGCCCCUUCCAAAUGUUUUCCUUAUCACAUUAACCGGCUUUGUAAAAUAACCUCUCCUUCACAUUCAUUGCCUUUCUAAUAAAAUAAGGACAAUAUUACAAGCACAUUUCCUUCAGAGUAGUUGUAAGGAUCAAAUCAGGUGUAUGUAAAACACCUGCACUAAAUUCAUGUUCAAUAAAUUUAGUACAUAGCACAACACAGUAGGACAAAUAUGAACUUUGAAAUCUAAUAGAUUAAAAAGAGUUCAGCUCCCAGCUCAGCAUCUAAUUGCAGGUGAGGCAUUCCUCCUCUGAAUUUCAGUCUCCUUACAUAUAAAAUGGGAAAAAGAAUUUCUUUCUCUCAUGCAGGUUGUGGAGUUUUGGCGAAAUCACGUGUCUAAAGUGCCUCCUCUGGUGGCACACAGUGGGGCUUAUCAAACAUGACAGGAGACAGUGCACACUUGCUCUGCUUAUGUGGAGACUUGAUCAACUGUCUUUUGCUGCCUUGAUCUGAUCACUUUCCUAGUUUCCCUGAAGGGCACUAAGAAGUGGAAGAUGUGGCAGGCAUGAGCUGGCAGAGGGCUGGGUGCUGAACUGCGGAGUGAAGACCUGUCAUCCAUUAGGAAGUCAGUUACUUUGUAAAUUCUCAGAGAGAAUGUUCCCAAGAAAACCCAACCCCCAUCCACAGGCACCUAGGCACAAUUUUCAAAACUCUUCACCAUGCAACUUUCAUAGUGAAUAACAAAGAAGUAUUUUUAUUUCUUCUCUUUUAUCCUGGUCGCCGGAGUUCUCUCAAACCCCAGUCUGAAAAAAAUUUAGCCCUGGAUGUGCAGGGUUAGUAGCUGCAUGAACAUGCGAUCUUCCAAAGGGGCACCCAUUUCUAUCCCCUUUAUAGCAAAAUAUUGGUAAUAUCUCAACUCUGAAAGUAUUUAGUCUAUAAUACAAUGGAAUUAUUGUGGCCAUUACAUUUUUUGCUUAAAAGAAUUCAUAGCAGUGGGGAAAAUGCUUGUAUUACUCAUGUUUCUUCUCUGUAAAAUGGGGAAAUUAAGGGCUAUUUCAUAGGGCCUUAGAGAGGAUUUUGAGUCAUUUUGUAGUAGCAUAUUCCAGAACUGAAUUUCCUCGCCUUUUAAGGCCUAGUAAUAUUCCAUUGUGUGGUGUGCGUGUGUGUGUGUGUGUGUGUGUGUGUGUGUGCAUGUGUGUGUAUCACACUCACACUGGGACAAUUUAGACAUGCUAUUUAACGUGAUGUGCACAUAUUUGGGAUGUGGGGGGAAAGCAGAGUACCCAGAGAAAUCCCACUCAGAUUUGGAGAGAAUGUGUAAACUCCCACAGACAGUGGUCCCAGUCAGGAACUAAUUUUUUUUCCUUCUAAUCAAUGUUAUAAUGAGA
rnacentral:lncRNA from 10 species